ACAUCCCUUGCAUUACUCUUAAUCGAGGAAAUCCCUUCGGGGACAAGGUGACAGGUGGUGCAUGGUUGUCGUCAGCUCGUGUCGUGAGAUGUUGGGUUAAGUCCCGCAACGAGCGCAACCCUUGUUGUUAGUUACUACCAUUAAGUUGAGGACUCUAGCGAGACUGCCUGGGUUAACCAGGAGGAAGGUGGGGAUGACGUCAAAUCAUCAUGCCCCUUAUGUGUAGGGCUACACACGUGCUACAAUGGCUGGUACAGAGAGAUGCAAUACCGCGAGGUGGAGCCAAACUUAAAAACCAGUCUCAGUUCGGAUUGUAGGCUGAAACUCGCCUACAUGAAGCUGGAGUUACUAGUAAUCGCGAAUCAGAAUGGUCGCGGUGGAAUACCUUCCCGGGUCUUGUACACACCG
rnacentral:rRNA from 1 species